AGAGCGAACGCUGGCGGCAGGCCUAACACAUGCAAGUCGAGCGCCCGUAGCAAUACGGGAGCGGCAGACGGGAGAGUAACACGUGGGAACGCGCCCUUCGGUUCGGAAUAACUCAGGGAAACUUGAGCUAAUACCGGAUACGCCCUUACGGGGAAAGAUUUAUUGCCGAAGGAACGGCCCGCGUCCGAUUAGCUAGUUGGUGAGGUAAUGGCUCACCAAGGCGACGAUCGGUAGCUGGUCUGAGAGGAUGACCAGCCUCACUGGGACUGAGACACGGCCCAGACUCCUACGGGAGGCAGCAGUGGGGAAUAUUGGACAAUGGGCGCAAGCCUGAUCCAGCCAUGCCGCGUGAGUGAUGAAGGCCUUAGGGUUGUAAAGCUCUUUAGCAGGGAAGAUAAUGACGGUACCUGCAGAAAAGCCCGGCUAACUUCGUGCCAGCAGCCGC
rnacentral:rRNA from 1 species